UCCACAUCCAAAGCUCAGCUUAGAACAUUGGGUGUAACUGAUCUAUACAAGGUCCAUCUGGAGAAACAAAUUGCAAAGUGUGAUCCUCAGGUGGAGCAUAUAAAACAGACAAGGCUAGAAAUUCAGUUGCUUGAAUUUAAGUGAUCAUGCACAGAGCCUGACCAUUUGGCUUCAAUAUUUGUAAUGUGGGUAGCAUCACAUAAGAUCUUGAUGGAGAACAAUCAAAGACUUCCUGACGGGAUGCAGACAGAGGCUUUAAGUAGGACCCCACACCUCUACAUCCAUCAGCCUUAGCACAAGCUCUCCUCAGGGCUGUGUGCUGAGUCCCCUGCGCUACACCCUGUAUACUUACGACUGCACCACUGCUCACACCAGCAACACCAUCAUUAAAUUUGCAGACGACACCACCAUAGUGGGGCUUAUCUCAGGAGCCGAUGAGACCGCCUACCGGGACGAAGUGGAGCGGUUGUCGUUGUGGUGUAAGGACAACAAUCUGCUUCUGAACACGGCAAAGACAAAGGAGCUGGUAAUUGAUUUUAGGAAGGUGAGGAGCGUCGUUCAACCCAUAACCAUUAAUGGGGACUGUGUAGAAAGGGUCACAUAUUUUUGCUUCUUGGGUAUUCACAUCGAGGAGGACCUAACCUGGGGUGUGAACAUCACAGAACUAACAAAACACAGCAGAGACUCUCUUUCUAAGGACCCUCAGGAUAAAUAACAUUGAUCAGAGACUGCUGGUGUCUUUCUACCAUUCAACCAUAGAGAGCAUCCUCACUCACGGCCUCUGUGUGUGGUUCUCCAGUUGCACUGCGGCACACAAAAAAGAAAUACAGAGGAUUGUGAGGUCUGCGGAGAAAAUCAUCGGAUGCUCUCUACCCAUCCUGGAGGACCUACACAGGUCUCGUUGCCUUCAAAAAACUCACAAAAAUGUAAUGGACAAGUCUCACCCCGGCCACCAUCUGUUUGAGUUGUUACCAUCAGGCAGACGGUAUAGAACAAACCGGCUCAAAAAUAGCUUCUACCCCACAGCGGUACAAACCCUAAAUACUUCUAUAUAAGGUGAUUUCACUAAACACAUGGGACUGUGCAAUUUCAAGCAAUGUGUACAAUGUUUACAAAUGGCAGUGUGCAAUUUCCACUAGCUUGUUACUGACAGAAGGUCUAUGUGUGUGUUACUGUUAUUCUUUUUAUUGUAAAUUUUGCGAAUGCAAAUUUUGGAUUUUGUAAAUACUAUUUUUUUUAUUUUAUUUGUAACACUGUAGAGUAU